rnacentral:tRNA from 1 species
GCGGGCGUAGUUCAAUGGUAGAACUCGAGCUUUCCAAGCUCGAUGUUGGGGGUUCGAUUCCCCUCGCCCGCU